rnacentral:rRNA from 1 species
GUGAACGCUGGCGGUAGGCCUAACACAUGCAAGUCGCACGGCAGCACAGUAAGAGCUUGCUCUUACGGGUGGCGAGUGGCGGACGGGUGAGGAAUACAUCGGAAUCUACUUUUUCGUGGGGGAUAACGUAGGGAAACUUACGCUAAUACCGCAUACGACCUACGGGUGGAAGCAGGGGAUCUUCGGACCUUGCGCGAUUGAAUGAGCCGAUGUCGGAUUAGCUAGUUGGCGGGGUAAAGGCCCACCAAGGCGACGAUCCGUAGCUGGUCUGAGAGGAUGAUCAGCCACACUGGAACUGAGACACGGUCCAGACUCCUACGGGAGGCAGCAGUGGGGAAUAUUGGACAAUGGGCGCAAGCCUGAUCCAGCCAUACCGCGUGGGUGAAGAAGGCCUUCGGGUUGUAAAGCCCUUUUGUUGGGAAAGAAAAGCAGCAGGUUAAUACCCCGCUGUUCUGACGGUACCCAAAGAAUAAGCACCGGCUAACUUCGUG